GAUGAACGCUGGCGGCGUGCUUAAUACAUGCAAGUCGAGCGAACAGACGAGGAGUUUGCUCCUCUGACGUUAGCGGCGGACGGGUGAGUAACACGUGGAUAACCUACCUAUAAGACUGGGAUAACUUCGGGAAACCGGAGCUAAUACCGUAUAAUAUAUUGAACCGCAUGGGUGAAUAGUGAAAUUCGGUUUUUCUGUCAGUUAUAGAUGCUUCCGCGCUGUUUUAGAUUGUUGGUAAGGUUACGGCUUACCAAGGCAACCAUGCGUAUCCGACUGGAGGGGGUGGUAGGCCGCACUGGAAGUGAGACGCGGUCAAGACGCCUAAGGGAGGGACCAGUAUGGAAUGUUACGCAAUGGGCGAGAGUCUUACGCAGCAGCGCGGCGUGUGAGGUAGAGGUGUUCGGAUCGUAAUACUGUGUUAUUAGGGAAGAACAAAUGUGUAAGGAAAUAUAGCCGUAUUGACGGUACCUGAUCAGAAAGCCCCGGCUAACUACGUG
rnacentral:rRNA from 1 species